UACGUAGGGUGCAAGCGUUGUCCGGAAUUAUUUGGGCGUAAAGAGCUCGUAGGCGGUCUGUCGCGUCGGCUGUGAAAACUCGGGGCUCAACUCCGAGCUUGCAGUCGAUACGGGCAGGCUAGAGUUCGGCAGGGGAGACUGGAAUUCCUGGUGUAGCGGUGAAAUGCGCAGAUAUCAGGAGGAACACCGGUGGCGAAGGCGGGUCUCUGGGCCGAUACUGACGCUGAGGAGCGAAAGCGUGGGGAGCGAACAGG
rnacentral:rRNA from 1 species